GACGAACGCUGGCGGCGUGCUUAACACAUGCAAGUCGAACGGAAAGGCCCUGCUUUUGUGGGGUGCUCGAGUGGCGAACGGGUGAGUAACACGUGAGUAACCUGCCCUUGACUUUGGGAUAACUUCAGGAAACUGGGGCUAAUACCGGAUAGGAGCUCCUGCUGCAUGGUGGGGGUUGGAAAGUUUCGGCGGUUGGGGAUGGACUCGCGGCUUAUCAGCUUGUUGGUGGGGUAGUGGCUUACCAAGGCUUUGACGGGUAGCCGGCCUGAGAGGGUGACCGGCCACAUUGGGACUGAGAUACGGCCCAGACUCCUACGGGAGGCAGCAGUGGGGAAUAUUGCACAAUGGGCGGAAGCCGGAUGCAGCAACGCCGCGUGCGGGAUGACGGCCGUCGGGUUGUAAACCGCUUUCGCCUGUGACGAAGCGUGAGUGACGGUAAUGGGUAAAGAAGCACCGGCUAACUACGUG
rnacentral:rRNA from 1 species